GACGAACCGAGCGACCGUUAUUCGGAAUCACUGGGCUUAAAGGGCGCGUAGGCGGGCCGCCAAGUCAGGGGUGAAAGCCCCCAGCUCAACUGGGGAAGUGCCUUUGAUACUGGCGGUCUCGAGGGGGAUAGGGGCGUGCGGAACUUCCGGUGGAGCGGUGAAAUGCGUAGAUAUCGGAAGGAACACCGGUGGCGAAAGCGGCGCGCUGGAUCCCUUCUGACGCUGAGGCGCGAAAGCCAGGGGAGCGAACGGG
rnacentral:rRNA from 1 species